GGGAGGAGGGAAAAAGACUAGGUAAGAAGUUAGUAGACCAGAUACAUCAGGGUACUCAUUUGGGGACACGCAAACUCAAGGAGCUUAUAGGCAAGCAGUUCCAGGUUUCUAAAUUAGGGCGUAUGGUUCAGGAUGUAGUUGAUACAUUUGCUCAAUGCCAGGCAGUUAAUGCGGGAGGAACUAGAAUGGGAAAAGGGAAAAGAGAAAGAGGUAAGGAACCAGGAUUUAUUGGGAAAUAGAUUUUACAGAGAUGAAACCCAGAAAAUAUGGGCACAAAUAUACAUUAGUUUUUGUAGAUACCUUUUCAGGCUGGGUAGAGGCU